CCCACUUUUCUCAUUACCGGCGACGACCUUCUUUCCACUAAAAAUGAUGGGACGAUCUUCUCUCCAGAGAUCAUGAAGCCAAAAUCAUGAGCUCGCAACUUCAAAGUUGAGAUUACCCGAGGCUUCUCUCCUCGAUCGCCGCCGCUGCCCCGAGACGAAGUGAAGAGAAGGCCAAUAGUCAUCGUCCGUCUCAACAAAAAAACUGUUGUCGAUCGAGAUCCGUCGCUGAUUGGCGAUCUCAAUCUACCUGACGGCCCUGACACCGACGAAGCUGUUCUGGCGACUUCGGUCUUUAUUUUAGUGUACGAGGGUAGAAAGGAAAACGAACAAGGGAAGCGAAGAGAGUUAAACUCAGAUUUUGCUAAGCAACUCAGGUAAAGGUAAGAAAAAAGUAGAACAGGAAGCAGGGGAGCUGGCUUCGUUGACUGCUGUACAUAUGGUUGGACCGAAGAAGCUGCACACGGAUUAUUUUGGAUAAAGGUAAGAACAAAGCAGAACAGUAAGCAAGGGAGUUGGCUUCAUUGACCACUGUACAUAUGGUUUGACCGAAGAAGCUGCACACGGAUUAUUUUGGGUUUGUAAAUACAUAUAUUUUGGAGUUAAACUCAUAAACCUUGGAUGACUGUAUAAUUUUAAUUAUGGCUAGGAAACCUGAUAGGAAUGGUGUA